UACGUAGGGGGCAAGCGUUGUUCGGAAUUACUGGGCGUAAAGGGCGCGUAGGCGGCAGGUCAAGUCGGGAGUGAAAGCCCGGGGCUCAACCCCGGAAUGUCUUUCGAAACUGGCCAGCUCGAGUGCGGAAGAGGCAACUGGAAUUCCCAGUGUAGCGGUGAAAUGCGUAGAUAUUGGGAAGAACACCUGAGGCGAAGGCGGGUUGCUGGGCCGACACUGACGCUGAGGCGCGAAAGCCAGGGGAGCAAACGGG
rnacentral:rRNA from 1 species